AAAGGAGCAAAUGUUAUUGUUGUAAAUAAUUCGAAUCAGACUCCUUUUCAAGUAGCUAUCAACAAUGGUCACAAUGAGGUCGUCAAACUUUUUAUCGGUAAAGGAAACAAAAUUAAUAUUGCAGAGCAAUUGGAUCAGAUUCAAUUGGACAAUGGUGACGAAUAGCUGAACCAAUUUAGCUGAAUGAUCGGGUGAUUUUCUUCGAUUCCCUUUUUCGAUUGUAGUCUAGAAUUAAUUUCAAAAUAUGUUUUUGUCAAUCUAUGACCAUACCAACCAAUAUUGUUGCUUUGUUGGACCAUCGAUUAUUACUCUGUCAAAAAACAGCUCAAGUUAUUUGUCUUUUUAAUUGCUUACAUUGCAUUUUUGUGACCCUAACGUACAUCCGUGCUAAAUUUGAACGCGAUUUGUAUGAGUCUAAU